rnacentral:rRNA from 1 species
CGGUACGGAUCGCGAGUAGAGUGGCGGAAGGGUGAGUAAUGCAUAAACAAUCUACCCUUUAGUUGGGGAUAACCUACCGAAAGGUGGGCUAAUACCGAAUGUGGCGCAGAUGUCGCAUGGCGUUUGCGUUAAAGGCGGGGACCUUCGGGCCUGUCGCUAGAGGAGGAGUUUAUGUUCUAUCAGCUUGUUGGUGAGGUAACGGCUCACCAAGGCGACGACGGAUAGCCGGACUGAGAGGUUGGCCGGCCACACUGGAACUGAGACACUGUCCAGACUCCUACGGGAGGCUGCAGUCGAGAAUCUUCGGCAAUGCGCGCAAGCGUGACCGAGCAACGCCGCGUAAGGGAUGAAGGCCUUCGGGUUGUAAACCUUUGUCACCGAUUAAGAAUAAAUGUGGGUUAAUAACCCACAAGAUGACGAAAGUCGGGAAGGAAGCCCUGGCUAACCUCGUGCCAGCAGCCGCGGUUAUACGAGGAGGGCAAACGUUGUUCGGAAUUACUGGGCUUAAAGGGCGCGUAGGCGGCCGGAUAUGUUGGGGUUGAAAUCCCUCGGCUUAACCGAGGAAUUGGCUUCAAAACCAUCCGGCUUGAGAACAUCAAGAGUGUGUGGAACUCACGGUGUAGCGGUGAAAUGCGUAGAUAUCGUGAGGAACACCGGCGGCGAAAGCGACACACUGGGGUGAUUCUGACGCUGAGGCGCGAAAGCUAGGGGAGCAAACAGGAUUAGAUACCCUGGUAGUCCUAGCCCUAAACGAUGAAUACUAGGUAGUGGUCUCUCCGAUGGGAUCGCUGCUGCAGCGAAAGCAUUAAGUAUUCCGCCUGGGGAGUACGGCCGCAAGGCUAAAACUCAAAGGAAUUGACGGGAGCUCGCACAACCGGUGGAUGAUGUUGUUUAAUUCGAGGCAACGCGAAGAACCUUACCAGGGCUUGACAUGUACGUGGUACUAACCCGAAAGGGGGAGGACCUGCUUGCAGGAGCGUACACAGGUGCUGCAUGGCUGUCGUCAGUUCGUGCCGUGAGGUGUUGGGUUAAGUCCCGUAACGAGCGAAACCCUUGUUCUUAGUUGCCAGCGGGUAAUGCCGGGGACUCUAAGGAUACUGCCCGUGUUAAACGGGAGGAAGGUGGGGAUGACGUCAAGUCCUCAUUGCCUUUAUGCCCAGGGCCACAAACGUCCUACAAUGGUCGGUACAGAGAGAAGCGAUACCGCGAGGUGGAGCAAAUCUUCAAAGCCGGCCCCAGUUCGGAUUGUGGGCUGAAAUUCGCCCACAUGAAGCCGGAAUCGGUAGUAAUCGCGUGUCAGCUAUAACGCGGUGAAUAUGUUCCCGAGCUUUGUACACACCGCCCGUCAAGCCACGAAAGUUGGGGGUACCCUAAGUCGGCAGUCUAACCUUCGGGGGGACACCGCCUAAGGUAAACUCAGCAAUUGGGACUAAGUCGAAACAAGGUA